rnacentral:rRNA from 1 species
GACUCGUCACACUAUCAUUAACUGAAUCCAUAGGUUAAUGAGGCGAACCGGGGGAACUGAAACAUCUAAGUACCCCGAGGAAAAGAAAUCAACCGAGAUUCCCCCAGUAGCGGCGAGCGAACGGGGAGGAGCCCAGAGCCUGAAUCAGCAUGUGUGUUAGUGGAAGCGUCUGGAAAGGCGCGCGAUACAGGGUGACAGCCCCGUACACAAAAGCGCAUGUGCUGUGAGCUCGAUGAGUAGGGCGGGACACGUGGUAUCCUGUCUGAAUAUGGGGGGACCAUCCUCCAAGGCUAAAUACUCCUGACUGACCGAUAGUGAACCAGUACCGUGAGGGAAAGGCGAAAAGAACCCCGGCGAGGGGAGUGAAAAAGAACCUGAAACCGUGUACGUACAAGCAGUGGGAGCACAGGUUUACCUGUGUGACUG